CUUGCGGCGGGGAGGUCAAAGGUCAGAGGUAAAGAAGUCAUGGCGGCGCUGUGUUUGACCCGUGCUGUGGCUGCCGAGAGCCAUUUUCUGCGAGUGUUUCUCUUCUCCAGGCCCUUUCGGGGCGUAGGCACUGAGAGUGGAUCCGAAAGUGGUAGUUCCAAUGCCAAGGAGCCUAAGACGCGCGUAGGCGGUUUCGCGAGCGCGUUGGAGCGGCACUCGGAGCUUCUGCAGAAGGGUUCUCCAAAAAAUGUGGAAUCCUUUGCAUCUAUGCUGAGACAUUCUCCUCUUACACAGAUGGGACCUGCAAAGGAUAAACUGGUCAUUGGACGGAUCUUUCAUAUUGUGGGGGAUGAUCUUUACAUAGAUUUUGGUGGAAAGUUUCAUUGUGUAUGUAGAAGACCAGAAGUGGAUGGAGAGAAAUACCAGAAAGGAACCAGGGUCCGGUUGCGGCUAUUAGAUCUUGAACUUACGUCUAGGUUCCUGGGAGCAACAACAGAUACAACUGUACUAGAGGCUAAUGCAGUUCUCUUAGGAAUCCAGGAGAGUAAAGACUCAAGAUCAAAAGAAGAACAUCAUGAAAAAUAAAUGAACUUUGCUUAGUGGAUUGACUCCUUUGCUGAAGUCAGGCAAGAGAUGAUGGCAGCUUGGACCAGGGUAGUAGCAGUGGAAUUGAUGAGAAGUGGUUGAAAUCUGGAUAUAUUUUGAAGAUGGAGCCCGUGGGAUUUCCUAACACAUUGCAUAUGGAAUAUGUGAGAAAGGAAGGAGUGAGGAUGACAACAAGGUUUUUGGCCUGCACAACUGGAAGACUUUCAUUGCCUUUAACUGAGAGAUGAUUGCUGGGAGAAGUUGGAGAAUGAGGAAUGCACCAGAAGUCACAGGAUUGGACUGUUUGCAUUUAGCAAAAGGAAGUGAAGACCUUCUGCAGAGUGGUAAGAGUGCAAGACAGACGGAAAGCAGUCAAAUGGAAAUUCAGUUGGAAAGCAAAAGAUGAUUAAAAAAACAAGACCCUCAACAGCAGCUUAUCAAUCUGGAUGUAAUUUUGACUCUGCCAAGAUAAUGAAAGCUAAACUGAACUAUGAGAUGAGACAUUCUACUCCAUUCCAUCCCAUUUUUGGAAAGAUGAGAUUCACAGGGAGAUCAAGUAUUUUGCCCAAGAGCACACAGCUAGAGAGUGGAGAAUUCCGGAUUCAACCCAGACAGAUUGACUCCAGAGCGUGUGCUAUUCGUGGCUAUGCCAGAAUGCCCUGAUGGCCUCAGGUUUGCCUUGCCAACUGACAAAGGCGACUGUUUCCUACCCAUUGGCUCAGAUGGUUCCAGCUUCCUACCCUUCCAGUUAAAAUAAACAAAAAGGAGGGUCCUGAGUGUCUAUGAUUUUCAUAAGAUCUAUGGCGUUUCUUCUGCAGAUGAUCAACAGUUGCCUGCCUUGGACUUUGGAGUACCCAAGAACUAGUGUCAUAAACAAAGUUGCUCUUUCCUUUGCAAGAAGAAAAGAGCACGGUGGAAACAGAGAAGUGUGUCUUCUGUUUGGUCAGCAAGGCAGGAAAGGCCUUGUGUGCUCUGUCCGUCAACACUGAUAAGCUGUGGCAUCGGGAGGCUGGGAGGAUCCCCAGCUGUUCCACCUACACUGGGUCCCAGGGCGCGUGAUCCUGCUCGGGAAGCAAGGGGAGCUCAAACAGGGAAAGAUGAGUACCAUGAACACAAAUAGUCUACUCGGAAUUUCUUAAAUUAUUUGAGUAUCCAUAUAUUUGACUUCAAGAGACCUUUAUUUUCUGGGUUUCUUCCUUGUAGCUCAAAGAGUAUGUGUUUUGAGCAUUUCAGUUGGUGCAGCCCCUCUACAAAAGCCUUCCUCCAAAAGAGUCAAAAUCUUAAGGAAUCUAGCAAAACUAGAACAAGAUGCAUCAUAAUUGGUUUCUAUAAAUUAAGAAACAAUUGAUUUUUAAUUUCUUAGUAUAUUUGUGGUUAAGUAUAAUGGUAUUUGAUUUAAGUAUAUUUGUGGUUAAGUAGAAUAGUAUUUGGUGCAUCUUAUUCCAUUGUGAAGAGUAUUAAUGAUUAUAACUAACAAGUUUUAUGUGCUUUACGUUUUCAAAUGCCUCCUACAAAGUUUAUAUUUGCUCAUUUGGUUCUCUUUAGCUCUCUCUGAAAUGAAGACAACUAUCACUAUCCUACUUUUACAGAUGAGGAGACUGGAGUUCAGGGAACAUACUGGGCUAAGGGUUUUGCCUUAGAGGCAGCCUGUGAAAAGUAAAGGAGCAAGAACUUGAACCUAGUUCAAGUUCCAAAACCCAUUCUCCUCUUAACCACUCAAUGGAUAAAUCCAGAAAAGUGAGAAACUUAUUCUUGAAUGUCCAACACAGGCUAGGUAAUUUUAUACAUACUAUUUCAUUUAGAAACAACAGAUUGUGUACUAGUAUCAGGGAUAAAGAAAUUAAGAUUCCAAGAGGACCAAUAACUUAACAAAUGCUUGGUAAAUGAUUGAGCCCUUUUAGUGAAAAAUAACAGAUAAUUCUAGGAAAAAAGAUGUUCUUGAACUAUAUCAGCUUACUGAAAUUUGUUAGGAGUGCAAACCUAGGCAGAAUAUCUCACAAAAGGAAGCUUAUUUGUAAAAAGUGGAGUUCGGUUGGCUUUCUUUUUUUUUUCUAUUCUGAGGAAUAUUUUCUUUUCCUUUUCAGAAAAUCCAGGUCAGGAACUGUAUCUUUGCCCAGCCACCUGCAAACAGACUUGAGAACAAUGUAAACCACCCUCUGCAGGAUAUUGAUUCUGAUGGAGUAAAUGUUGAUUAAGCA